rnacentral:pre_miRNA from 17 species
AGGCCCCUCUGCGUGUCCACAGCGGACCUGAUUUUAUGUCUAUACAUUUAGGCACGCGGUGAUGCAAGAGAGCGCUC